rnacentral:rRNA from 1 species
AUACGGAAGGUCCGGGCGUUAUCCGGAUUUAUUGGGUUUAAAGGGAGCGCAGGCGGAGAUGCAAGCGUGACGUCAAAUUUCGGGGCUCAACCCCGUCUCGCGUCGCGAACUGCGUCCCUUGGUUGCGGGAAGGGGAGGCGGAACUCGGGGUGUAGCGGUGAAAUGCAUAGAUAUCACGAAGAACUCCGAUCGCGAAGGCAGCCUUCCGGCCCGUCAACGACGCUCAUGCACGAAAGUGCGGGGAUCGAACAGGAUCAGAUACCCUGGUAGUCCGCACAGUAAACGAUGAAUACUUGUUUUCGGCGAUAUAAUGUCGGAGGCAAAGCGAAAGCGAUAAGUAUUCCACCUGGGGAGUACGCCGGCAACGGUGAAACUCAAAUGAAUUGACGGGG